GUGAUUAAGUUAUUAAGGGCGCACGGUGGAUGCCUUGGCACUAGAAGCCGAUGAAGGACGUUACUAACGACGAUAUGCUUUGGGUAGCUGUAAGUAAG
rnacentral:rRNA from 1 species